rnacentral:rRNA from 1 species
CAGGGCGUCGCAGAGGGUGAGAAUCCCGUANGCGGNUGACGACCAAACNUNGGNGAAGCCCUUUCGACGAGUCGAGUUGUUUGGGAAUGCAGCUCUAAAUGGGUGGUAAAUUUCAUCUAAAGCUAAAUAUCUGCCAGAGACCGAUAGCGCACAAGUAGAGUGAUCGAAAGAUGAAAAGCACUUUGAAAAGAGAGUCAAAAAGUACGUGAAAUUGUUGAAAGGGAAGCGAUUGCAAUCAGACUCGUUCGCGGGUGUUCAGCCGCUGUACGCAGUGGUGCACUUUCCCGCUUCGGCCAGCAUCGGUUUCGGCGACCGGAUAAAGGCCUCGGGAACGUAGCUCUCUUCGGGGAGGUUAUAGCCCGGGGUGUAAUGCGGCCAGCUGGGACUGAGGACCGCGCAUUGCUAGGAUGCUGGCAUAAUGAUUGUAAUCGGCCCGUCUUGAAAC